rnacentral:rRNA from 1 species
UACGAAGGGGGCUAGCGUUGUUCGGAAUCACUGGGCGUAAAGCGCACGUAGGCGGAUUGUUAAGUCGGGGGUGAAAUCCUGAGGCUCAACCUCAGAACUGCCUUCGAUACUGGCAAUCUCGAGUCCGGAAGAGGUUGGUGGAACAGCUAGUGUAGAGGUGAAAUUCGUAGAUAUUAGCUAGAACACCAGUGGCGAAGGCGGCCGACUGGUCCGGUACUGACGCUGAGGUGCGAAAGCGUGGGGAGCAAACAGG